AUGAAUUCAUGGUUUAGCGUUCAUAAACCAAACACCUCCAUACAAAAACGACCGUCGCAGCAAACAUCGCUAUCAUUUAGCUUCGGGAUGCUUCAGAUUGAACCUGGGACUCCACACACUCGCUUGAGGUUGACACCCCUAAUAUAGAUGCCGGCAUCAGCAUGCCCUGAUGCUUCAGAUUGGACCUGGGACUCGUUUGAGGCUGAGAUCCCCAAAUUCCGGCGUCAGCAUGGCCCAGCAAGGCUUCAAAUGAAACCACACACCGUACCCUGAAAGAAGGCAUGAACUGAACUAACAUGGAGCGAGCUGGCUAUCUGAAAUGCUCACUUAUAGUCAGCACUUGCCCUUCUUCAAUUAUUAUCAACAUAGCACAUGUUUGGGCAAUCCCUCCUCCAGUUCACAUACAAUUCAUAGUACCAGAGAAUCUGGCCUAGCCAGUUCUCUCAUUUGCAAAGGCCAAACAGGGACGGAGUGAUUACCUCGGAUGACUUGGAGCAACCAAAUUGGGGUUCCACCCUCAGUUUGGG
rnacentral:lncRNA from 1 species